CAGAUGUAGUUUAAUGGUAGAACUUCUGCCUUCCAAGCAGACAGUGCGAGUUCGAUUCUCGUCAUUUG
rnacentral:tRNA from 1 species